UACAGAGGGUGCGAGCGUUACUCGGAAUUACUGGGCGUAAAGCGCGCGUAGGCGGUCUGUUACGUCCGCUGUGAAAACCCAGGGCUUAACCCUGGGCUUGCAGUGGAUACGGACAGACUAGAGGUAGGUAGGGGAGAAUGGAAUUCCCGGUGUAGCGGUGAAAUGCGCAGAUAUCGGGAGGAACACCGGUGGCGAAGGCGGUUCUCUGGGCCUUACCUGACGCUGAGGAGCGAAAGCGUGGGGAGCGAACAGG
rnacentral:rRNA from 1 species